rnacentral:rRNA from 1 species
UAUAAUGCAAGUCGAGCGAAUGAUAUUAAGAGCUUGCUCUUAUGAAGUUAGCGGCGGACGGGUGAGUAACACGUGGGUAACCUACCCAUAAGACUGGGAUAACUCCGGGAAACCGGGGCUAAUACCGGAUAAUAUUUUGAACUGCAUAGUUCGAAAUUGAAAGGCGGCUUCGGCUGUCACUUAUGGAUGGACCCGCGUCGCAUUAGCUAGUUGGUGAGGUAACGGCUCACCAAGGCGACGAUGCGUAGCCGACCUGAGAGGGUGAUCGGCCACACUGGGACUGAGACACGGCCCAGACUCCUACGGGAGGCAGCAGUAGGGAAUCUUCCGCAAUGGACGAAAGUCUGACGGAGCAACGCCGCGUGAGUGAUGAAGGCUUUCGGGUCGUAAAACUCUGUUGUUAGGGAAGAACAAGUGCUAGUUGAAUAAGCUGGCACCUUGACGGUACCUAACCAGAAAGCCACGGCUAACUACGUGCCAGCAGCCGCGGUAAUACGUAGGUGGCAAGCGUUAUCCGGAAUUAUUGGGCGUAAAGCGCGCGCAGGUGGUUUCUUAAGUCUGAUGUGAAAGCCCACGGCUCAACCGUGGAGGGUCAUUGGAAACUGGGAGACUUGAGUGCAGAAGAGGAAAGUGGAAUUCCAUGUGUAGCGGUGAAAUGCGUAGAGAUAUGGAGGAACACCAGUGGCGAAGGCGACUUUCUGGUCUGUAACUGACACUGAGGCGCGAAAGCGUGGGGAGCAAACAGGAUUA